UGGGGAAUAUUGCUCAAUGGGAGAAAUCCUGAAGCAGCAACGCCGCGUGGAGGAUGAAGGGUCUAUGACUUGUAAACUCCUGUAAAGAAGGAAAAAAUUCCCAUUUGAUGGGAGAUGAUGGUACUUCUGGAGUAAGCCCCGGCUAACUACGUGCCAGCAGCCGCGGUAAUACGUAGGGGGCAAGCGUUGUCCGGAUUUACUGGGUGUAAAGGGUGCUCAGGCGGAUUUGUAAGUCAGAGGUGAAAUCUUACAGCUUAACUGUGAAACUGCCUUUGAUACUGCAAGCCUAGAGUAUGGAAGAGAGUGAUGGAAUAUCUGGUGUAGCAGUGAAAUGCGUAGAUAUCAGAUAGAACACCAAUGGCGAAGGCAGUCACUUGGUCCAUUACUGACGCUAAAGCACGAAAGCGUGGGUAGCAAA
rnacentral:rRNA from 1 species